rnacentral:rRNA from 1 species
UACACAUGCAGUCGACGAUGAUGCCCAGCUUGCUGGGCGGAUUAGUGGCGAACGGGUGAGUAAUACGUGAGUAACCUGCCCUUGACUCUGGGAUAAGCCUGGGAAACUGGGUCUAAUACUGGAUACUACCUCUUGCCGCAUGGUGGGUGGUGGAAAGGGUUUUACUGGUUUUGGAUGGGCUCACGGCCUAUCAGCUUGUUGGUGGGGUAAUGGCUCACCAAGGCGACGACGGGUAGCCGGCCUGAGAGGGUGACCGGCCACACUGGGACUGAGACACGGCCCAGACUCCUACGGGAGGCAGCAGUGGGGAAUAUUGCACAAUGGGCGGAAGCCUGAUGCAGCGACGCCGCGUGAGGGAUGACGGCCUUCGGGUUGUAAACCUCUUUUCAGUAGGGAAGAAGCGAGAGGUGACGGUACCUGCAGAAGAAGGCUCAAACUACGUGCCAGCAGCCGCGGUAAUACGUAGGGCGCAAGCGUUGUCCGGAAUUAUUGGGCGUAAAGAGCUCGUAGGCGGUUUGUCGCGUUCUUGCUUGUGAAAGCCCGGGGCUCAACCCCGGGUCUGCAGUGGGUACGGGCAGACUAGAGUGCAGUAGGGGAGACUGGAAUUCCUGGUGUAGCGGUGAAAUGCGCAGAUAUCAGGAGGAACACCGAUGGCGAAGGCAGGUCUCUGGGCUGUUACUGACGCUGAGGAGCGAAAGCAUGGGGAGCGAACAGGAUUAGAUACCCUGGUAGUCCAUGCCGUAAACGUUGGGCACUAGGUGUGGGGGGACAUUUCCACGUUUUCCGCGCUCAAACGCAUUAAGUGCCCCCGCCUGGGGGAGUACGGCCGCAAGGCUAAAACUCAAAGGAAUUGACGGGGGCCCCGCCACAAGCGGCGGAGCAUGCGGAUUAAUUCGAUGCAACGGCGAAGAACCUUACCAAGGCUUGACAUUCACCGGACCGCCCCAGAAGAAUGGGGUUUCCCUUCGGGGCUUGGUGGAACAGGUGGUGCAUGGUUGUCGUCAAUCAGUGUCGUGAGAAUGUUGGGUUAAGUUCCCCGCCAACCGAAGGCGCAAACCCUCGUUUUCUAUGUUGCCAGCACGUGAUGGUGGGGACUCAUAGGAGACUGCCGGGGUCAACUCGGAGGAAGGUGGGGAUGACGUCAAAUCAUCAUGCCCCUUAUGUCUUGGGCUUCACGCAUGCUACAAUGGCCGGUACAAAGGGUUGCGAUACUGUGAGGUGGAGCUAAUCCCAAAAAGCCGGUCUCAGUUCGGAUUGAGGUCUGCAACUCGACCUCAUGAAUCAAGAGUCGCUAGUAAUCGCAGAUCAGCAACGCUGCGGUGAAUACGUUCCCGGGCCUUGUACACACCGCCCGUCAAGUCACGAAAGUUGGUAACACCCGAAGCCGGUGGCCUAACCCCUUGUGGGAGGGAGCCGUCGAAGGUGGGACUGGCGAUUGGGACUAAGUCGUAACAAG